AUGGUCACAUCACAUUGAAGCACUGGUUCCUGUAAAAUCACUGAAGUUAAGUAAUGUUGAGCUUGGUCAGUACCUAGAUGGGUAACCCUUUAGGAAUACUAGGUCCUGUA